AAAUGUAUAUCAAUAUUCACAGCGUCCUAAAGUAUUAAGCGAUUAGUAAUGGAAUUUGCUGAUAUGUUAGCGACGUAUCUCAUUCUUUCUGGUUUAGGCAACCGAAUUUUAUAUUUAUAUAAGCAGUCCUCAAGCUAUUGCUCCUUCGUCCUGGCGCCUGCCAUAAGCACAAAGCAGGAAUACAAAAAUGCAAAGUCAGCCACAACGAUAGCAAUAGGAAUGGCAACGUAUCAUGAAUAUUUUAUGCACCCCAUCAUAUUCCGCAUAUAUGAGAGCAUUCGUCAAAAAGCGCUCGGCAGUGAAGUUGCACUUCUUCGUGGGCGCGGUUUGCACAUUUCAAUCUUAUAUUCGGUGACACUAUAUUGCAACUUUGAGUAACCUUUUUUAACCAGUUUCUAGAAACUCAAUAAGUUAAUUUUCUUUAUUUCUGUUAAAUAAAUACAAUUUUAAAUAUACUAAUACAUAUUAAGCUAAGUAAAGUAAACAUCAGCUAUGGCAA